UGAUAGCAAAAAAAAAAUUAAAUAAAAAUCAAAUCAAAUAAAUGCAUUGUGUUAAAAUGUAAAUCAUGAGAUAGUAAUGACAUACCAGUUACAAUGUGGAUUUCUAAAAUCAUCAGCGGCUGUAUACGAUUACAGAUAAUCGUGCAUUUAUAUAAGUAUAAAGAUUACAUAUAGGCUCAGAACAAAAAUAUGACUUUCUUCAAGAUCUGGCAACCAUCUACUGGAUCAGCCCAAUUGCUCUGCUCGGAGUGUGUUACCUACAGGCGAUCAGAGUCACAAGCAGCUGCAGCGUACGAGGCUAGGGUCACAGUGGAUCCGGAGUCUGUCAUCGGAACACCGGGAAUACAUUCUGGAUGGGAUGGCAGUCCAUCGCAGGACACCAUACACUCA
ensembl:lncRNA